UGGAAACCCAGGCAUCUCUGGGAAAGCAAGCAGUGUUAUGGCUCAUGUGUCACCUUUUACCCACAGGAGUUGAUGAUGUGGUUCCCGGUAUGCCAAGUAACUAGGAGGGAGGAGGUCAGCACUGGGGAGGGGAAGGUAACAUCCUCAGUCAAAGUUGGACCUCCCAGACCUGUUAGGCAGAGUUACAAAGAAAGACAAUGGGUUGGAAGGAGGAUGGAAACUGACGUGCUGGCCAAGAACAUAGCAAGAUUUUGGCCCCCCAAAACAGGCUGGAAAGUGAUGUCACUUCCUAUGUAAUAAUAAUGCGGCUUCCGUGGAAACCUUCCAACUUAACACUGCAGAAUCUGAAAAGAAAUGGCAAUGAGCAGAGGUCUCCCACUCUCACGUGGAGGACAGGGUCCGCAAAGAUGAGUCACAUUGUAGAACUUCACUAUUCAGAGAAAGCCCCUUCACAUGCAGAAUCUCGCUGGUCUCUCAGGACAAUCCUGUGAGGUAGGCAGCACCAGGGGUGUUACUGCCCCUUACAGAAGAGGGAACUGGCAUUAGUGAUGAUCAGAAUGGGUCUUAGAUGGCUCUGGGAUGUGCAGGAAGGACACUUGUAUAAAGAAUAAAAGACUGGCCGGGUUGUGGUAAUUUUUUAUGGCAGCCCUAAGAAUAAAUACACAGACCCGAACUUUUGUCUUUUUGAGCAAGGACUGCCAUGUACAACUUGACCUGAGAGUGCAGCCUUCAAUCUUUUCCUCUGGGGCCUCUGGCAACAGUUCUCAGAUGACUAUGCUCAGAGAGACACCUGUGACUGUCCACCCAGCAGCCAUCUGUUCACCAGCAGAGGAGACCGGAAGUCCCUUGUGAGGUGCUGGGUUCUGAAGCUUCAGGAGUGGGAUCCAUGUCAUCGUCCAUAUCAGAUCUGUCUGCUCCAAUCUCAGCCCUUUCUUCCUGCCUGAUCCAAAGGCUAUUUUCUAGCUGUUCUUCAGCAAUUUCUAGCUCUUCUUCCGUUUGUAAAGUAGCCACAGUUUCCCGGGGCAAGUUUGAGGAAUAUAGCCCAAAUUUGGCUUUACAGCCAAACAUUGCCUCAAAUGGACUUUGCUGCAAGGAAACGUCGAAAGCCUGAUUCCUCACCAUCUGCAUGAAUCGGAGGCCUUUGGCCCAGUGACAUGAGUGGUUACUCUGCAUCCAGGUACUUAUCAUGUUCUUUACAUCACGGCUUGCUCCUUCCAGGGAGCCCUGGCUUUGGCCAGGGUGGUACUUACCAGAUACAAUCUUUAGGUCUGGCCACAACUCAUUGAGCUCAUGAACAACCUGGUUUGUGAACUCAACGCCACUGUCAGAGUCUAACACACUGGGUGUACCAAGAAUUGUGAAAAUAUCUAACAAGACACUGACCACCUCAUGGGUCUGUUUGGUUCUUAAUGGCCGUAAAAUAAUAAACUUGGUUGAGUGAUCCUGGUAGUAUAAAAUGAACUUGAACUCACCAUCGGCACUUGACUGCAUGUCAAGUAUUUCAACUUGGCAUGUGGAGUCUAUGUCCUUAAAAGUCAUGGGCUGUGGUGCAAGGCCUCUCUUGGGUACUGGGUUCUUCUGGUGGCACUGUUUACACAGAGUCAGAUAUAAGACAAUAACUUCUUUGGUGACAUUCCCAUAUUUUCCUUGCAGCUCCUUGAGCAUGCGUGUCCGCCCACCAUGUCCAAUACUGAGAUGUGUAUCAUGAAGAAUAUCAAACAACUCUUCCUUAUGUACAUAAUACCGAAAUCGAUCACGUUCUCCAUGAGUAGC
rnacentral:lncRNA from 1 species